GAAUAUUGGACAAUGGGCGCAAGCCUGAUCCAGCCAUGCCGCGUGAGUGAUGAAGGUCUCAGGAUUGUAAAGCUCUUUCAACGGUGAAGAUAAUGACGGUAACCGUAGAAGAAGCCCCGGCUCACUUCGUGCCAGCAGCCGCGGUAAUACGAAGGGGGCUAGCGUUGUUCGGAAUUACUGGGCGUAAAGCGCGCGUAGGCGGGUAUUUAAGUCAGGGGUGAAAUCCCAGAGCUCAACUCUGGAACUGCCUUUGAUACUGGGUACCUAGAGUCCGGAAGAGGUGAGUGGAAUUGCGAGUGUAGAGGUGAAAUUCGUAGAUAUUCGCAGGAACACCAGUGGCGAAGGCGGCUCACUGGUCCGGUACUGACGCUGAGGUGCGAAAGCGUGGGGAGCAAACAG
rnacentral:rRNA from 1 species